GACGAACGCUGGCGGCGUGCUUAACACAUGCAAGUCGAACGGAAAGGCCCUGCUUUUGUGGGGUGCUCGAGUGGCGAACGGGUGAGUAACACGUGAGUAACCUGCCCUUGACUUUGGGAUAACUUCAGGAAACUGGGGCUAAUACCGGAUAGGAGCUCCUGCUGCAUGGUGGGGGUUGGAAAGUUUCGGCGGUUGGGGAUGGACUCGCGGCUUAUCAGCUUGUUGGUGGGGUAGUGGCUUACCAAGGCUUUGACGGGUAGCCGGCCUGAGAGGGUGACCGGCCACAUUGGAACUAAGAUACGGCCCAGACUCCUGCGGGAGGCAGCAGUGGGGAAUAUUGCACAAUGAGCGGAAGCCUGAUGCAGCAACGCCGCGUGCGGGAUGACGGCCUUCGGGUUGUAAACCGCUUUCGCCUGUGACGAAGCGUGAGUGACGGUAAUGGGUAAAGAAGCACCGGCUAACUACGUG
rnacentral:rRNA from 1 species